UACGGAGGGUGCAAGCGUUAAUCGGAAUUACUGGGCGUAAAGCGCACGCAGGUGGCUGAGCGAGUCGAUUGUGAAAGCCCUGGGCUUAACCUGGGAACUGCGUUUGAAACUACAAGGCUAGAGUGUGGCAGAGGGGGGUGGAAUUCCACGUGUAGCAGUGAAAUGCGUAGAGAUGUGGAGGAACACCGAUGGCGAAGGCAGCCCCCUGGGUUAACACUGACGCUCAGGCACGAAAGCGUGGGGAGCAAACAGG
rnacentral:rRNA from 1 species